rnacentral:rRNA from 1 species
GCAACCCCGAGUAAAGUGGCGUACGGGUGAGUAACACGUAGGCAAUCUACCUCAGAGUCCGGAAUAACCUGCCGAAAGGCGGGCUAAUACGGGAUAGAGCGACGGAAUCCGUAAUUGGGUUUUUCGGGAAAGGGAGGAAGCAAUUCCCCUCGCUCUGGGAUGAGCCUGCGUCCCAUCAGCUAGUUGGUAAGGUAACGGCUUACCAAGGCGAUGACGGGUAGCUGGUCUGAGAGGAUGAUCAGCCACACUGGAACUGAAACACGGUCCAGACUCCUACGGGAGGCAGCAGUGGGGAAUCUUGCGCAAUGGACGAAAGUCUGACGCAGCCACGCCGCGUGAGUGAAGAAGGCCUUCGGGUUGUAAAGCUCUGUCGGGCGGGACGAAAAUGCUUGGGGUGAAUAGCCUCAGGAACUGACGGUACCGCCAAAGGAAGCACCGGCUAACUUCGUGCCAGCAGCCGCGGUAAUACGAGGGGUGCAAGCGUUGCUCGGAAUUAUUGGGCGUAAAGGGGAGGUAGGUGGUCUCAUUUGUCUGGGGUGAAAGCCUUGAGCUUAACUCAAGAAGUGCCCCGGAAACGGUGAGACUGGAGUGCCGGAGAGGGUCGUGGAAUUCCCGGUGUAGCGGUGAAAUGCGUAGAGAUCGGGAGGAACACCCGAGGCGAAGGCGGCGACCUGGACGGUGACUGACACUCAACUCCGAAAGCGUGGGGAGCAAACAGGAUUAGAUACCCUGGUAGUCCACGCCGUAAACGAUGGGUACUAGGUUUGGUGGGUCUUGACCCCCGCCGAACCGGAGCUAACGCACUAAGUACCCCGCCUGGGAAGUACGGUCGCAAGACUAAAAC